rnacentral:rRNA from 1 species
GCGGCAGGCUUAACACAUGCAAGUCGAGGGGUAUGCUUCUUCGGAAGCAGAGACCGGCGCACGGGUGCGUAACGCGUAUGCAAUCUACCUUUUACAGAGGGAUAGCCCAGAGAAAUUUGGAUUAAUACCUCAUAGUAUAGCUGAAUCGCAUGAUUCUACUAUUAAAGUCACAACGGUAAAAGAUGAGCAUGCGUCCCAUUAGCUAGUUGGUAAGGUAACGGCUUACCAAGGCUACGAUGGGUAGGGGUCCUGAGAGGGAGAUCCCCCACACUGGUACUGAGACACGGACCAGACUCCUACGGGAGGCAGCAGUGAGGAAUAUUGGACAAUGGGCGCAAGCCUGAUCCAGCCAUGCCGCGUGCAGGAUGACGGUCCUAUGGAUUGUAAACUGCUUUUAUACGAGAAGAAACACUGCUUCGUGAAGCAGCUUGACGGUAUCGUAAGAAUAAGGAUCGGCUAACUCCGUGCCAGCAGCCGCGGUAAUACGGAGGAUCCAAGCGUUAUCCGGAAUCAUUGGGUUUAAAGGGUCCGUAGGCGGUUUAAUAAGUCAGUGGUGAAAGCCCAUCGCUCAACGGUGGAACGGCCAUUGAUACUGUUAAACUUGAAUUAUUAGGAAGUAACUAGAAUAUGUAGUGUAGCGGUGAAAUGCUUAGAGAUUACAUGGAAUACCAAUUGCGAAGGCAGGUUACUACUAAUGGAUUGACGCUGAUGGACGAAAGCGUGGGUAGCGAACAGGAUUAGAUACCCUGGUAGUCCACGCCGUAAACGAUGGAUACUAGCUGUUGGGAGCAAUCUCAGUGGCUAAGCGAAAGUGAUAAGUAUCCCACCUGGGGAGUA